GCCCAGUCCCGCACCCAAAAGGAAAAAUAAAAAUUAAAAGUUCGGGCUCCCUGCAGUCGUGCCGUCGACCAAUGAGAUUGUGGUGUUGAAUGGAGAAGGCUAGCAACAGUCUUGUUACUCACAUGAACACCACACUCUCUUUGCCACUUCAUUCUCACCUUUUAUCAGCAGUUUCUUCUCACCAAACCUUCUCACAUCACGCCCACAAAAGCUGCCUCCCACUUCGAGCUUCGCUUCCUUCUCUUUAUUAUUCCACACGCGGCCCACCUUCCCUCAAUUGCGCAAAUCCCGAUGAUGCUUCCUUAGCUACAGGGAGUAAGGUGGGUGCUGUGGAUUCAUCUCUUGCAGUGAAGAAACAAGCAGCAGAUGUAUCCCCCGAGCUAAAAGGGACUUCUAUUUUUCUGGUUGGCAUGCAAAAUUCCCUGAAAACCAGUUUAGGAAAGAUGCUAGCUGAUAUGUUGCGAUAUUAUUAUUUUGACAGUGAUAGUUUGGUUGAAGAAGCUGUUGGUGGUGCACCUGCUGCAAAAUCCUUUAGAGAGAAAGAUGAAAUGGCCUUACAUGAAUCUGAGACUGAAGUGUUGAAGCAAUUGUCAUCUAUGGGCCGACUAGUAGUUUGUGCUGGCAACGGUGCAGUUCAAAGUUCAACUAAUCUGGCACUUCUGAGACACGGGAUUUCCUUGUGGAUAGAUGUUCCGCUAGACAUCAUGGCUAGGGAUGUAUGUGAAGCAUCAUCAUCAGGAUCUUACCCUGAGGUAACAGAUCAACUAGCUGCACUAUACAACAAAUACCGGGAUGGAUAUGCUACAGCUGAUGCAAUUAUUUCAGUUCAAAGUACGUAGCAACCUUCCUGAAGUUGCUUCUAGGUUGGGGUGUGAUAAUUUUGAUGACAUUACAAUCGAAGAGAUGACAUUAGAGGCGCUAAGGGAGAUCCAGAAGCUGACUAGAGUGAAGAAGAUGCUGGAAGAGGCUGCAAGACCUUUCUAAUCAAACAUGGCUUGUUUCAUGUCUUAUCUUGAAAUUACUUUCGAUUAGUUGUUUUACUUGAAAUGAUGUACCAAGGGAUUUGUUACUAUAUAUUGUUUUACUAUAUAUAGCUCCACACUAAGAGAGUGGCGGAUCAUUACAUAACAAACCUUUAGUAGUGAUUAUGCAUUUUUAAACAGUUGCACAAACACGACAAGCAAGCUUGGAACACUCCAAAAUGCUCGAGAAAUUUUGGAAAUAACACCUCCCAAAUCAAGUAAACACGUAAUAUUUCUAUUCCGAGGGUUACCUAAAACUAGGUUGUUUUUGGGCCUAAACGUGAGGUCAAAGCUUCUUUAGGGGCAUCGUACGACUUGCACGGGAGUUGAGGUGUCGCCGUCCGAAUUUUUCAUGAGGAGGUGGGGGUGAUAUCAGUAAAAGAUUCUGAUGCUUAAAUUAGCAUGGGCUUUAAGUAAUUUUUUAGUAGAUUAGGAUUUGAAUAUAUUUGAGAGGUGUCAGUGUAUUUAUAGUGGAAUAGAUAACUACCUUUUUAAAUAGUUUCACCUUUAUUGGUGGGUAAUCGUUUCUUUUAUUUUAGGAGUAUGUUAC